AUGCAUUCUGGCUCCAUCCAGCUAAUUUUUCAUGCACAAAUUGCAGGUGCCAAGCAUAUUUGGCACAGUCCAGGAAUGCCUGGACAAAACUGUGAGUUCUCCUGGCAGCUGGGCUUGUGGAAUAUCCACAGAGGAGCAUGGAGCUUCGUUUUCAAAUCCUAGCUUUGCCUGAUAGGAGCUACAUCUCUCAGAUGGAUUCAUUAUAAUCAUGGGACUGUAGGCUUUGAUUCUGAGAAGAUGUUCUAACCCUGGCCUACUUGCUGGUAUCUCAAUUUCAUUUUUCAUGGUGAAAUCACAUUGGUUCUGGUAUUGUCAAGACCAUCUCUCUCUGCAUAUGGCUGCAGAAUAAGAAGGACAAGAAAAGUUUGAGAUGAAUCUGCAUGGACAAUGAAGGAUCUCCUGAAAAACACUCAGGAAAAGAAAAUAUAGAAACAUGCAGAGACAGAAAGAGCAUCAUGUUACCCAGGAGAGGAAAACAGAGAGAGAAGUCUAAGCAUACAGAGAUAGAGUUAGAAAAAUCAAAGACUGUCUGGACUUGAAUUGAGCUACCUGCAUCAUCUACCUGGAUUUGUGUUUUCAACUGGAUGCUGUCCUGCAUCCUUGUCUCAAAAAUGAGGAGAGACAUGGCUUUGAUGGAUGGACCACUCAUUGAAUAAGAAAUUGUCUUGAUGGUCACACUGAAAGAGUUGAAGUCAGUGGUUUAAUGUCCAGAUAGAGACUAGAAAUUGCUAGUAUCUCUUCGAAGUCUGCCCCGGGACUAGUAUAAUUUAACAUUUUUGUCAGUGACAUGGACAGUGGGAUUGCACCCCCAACAAGUUUGCUGAUGACACCAAGGUCAGUGGUGUGGUCAAGACACUGGAAUGAAGGGACGCCACCCAGAUGGAUUUUGACAGGCUUGAGAGGUGGAACAAGUGGGACAAAGUUGGAUGAGGACUUGUAGGUACUGGUGGUUUAAAAACUUGACAUGAAUCAACAAUGUGCACUUGGAGUCCUAUUAGGCAUCAAAAGAAGUGUAGCAAGUAGGUUGUGGGAGUUGAUUGUCCUCCUCUACUCCACUCCCAUAAGACCCCACUGGGAGUACUGAAUUUAUCUCUGUGGCCAAUAGAGUAAGAAAGACAUGGAUACACUAAAGCUUGUCCAGAAGAUGGCCAUGCAGAUGAUAAGAGGGCUGGAGCACCUAUCCUACAAUGUCAUCCUGAGAACAUUGGAAUUAUUUAGCCUAGAGAAGAGAAAGCUAUGGGAAGACCUUUUAGUAGCCUUCCAGUACUGAGAGGGGACUUAUAAAAAAGGUAAAGAGUGAAUCUUUACAUGUACAGACAGUGAUAGAACAAGGUAGAAUGGUUUUACACUAAAAGAGGAGAGAUUUAGAUCAGGUGAUAGAAGGAAAUUCUUGACCCAGAAGGUUGUGAGGCAGUGGAAUAAGAAGCUCAGAGAUAUGAAUGCCCUAUCCCUGGAAUUGCUCAAGGCUAGGUUAGAUGGACCUUUGGGCAACCUGGUGUAGUGGAAGUUGUCCCUGUCGAUGGGAUCCAUCCAUAGAAUCCAAGCCAAGCCAUUCUAUGAAUCUAUGAUUCACUGUAUGAAUUUGGAGAGAUCAUACAAUACAACAUGAAAGGUUUCUGCAGAUCCAUCAGCAAUAAAAGAAAAACUGAGGGUAAUAUGGUCUUGCUGCUGGAUAGGCAGCGACUUGAUGUCAAAGCAGGGGUGUGGAAAGGUCUGACGCUCUUCCUGAUUUCUUCAUCUUAUCUUGUCUUCAGAAAUCUCAUGUCCUUGAAACCCAUGGGAAAGCCUGGAGCAAAGCAAAUUAACAUGCCAGUAGAGGAAGAUGCAGUUAAGGAAAAUAUGAACCAGUUGUAACUUGUAAACAUGUCGAUGGGACUUGAUUGGAUGCAACCACAAGUGUUGAGUUUUUAGUGCUUUCAGCACUCUGGCCUGUAGCAUCCUUGUUGACAAACUGGUGGAAUAGAGUCUAGAGAAGCUGAUGAUGAGGUAUGAUGAGACAGAUUGAUGAAGCCAGUCCAUCUCUAGAGGUGAACUCAAAAGAACUGGGGCCAGUACUGUUUAAGAUCUUCAUAGAUAUGAUGGAACAUAGUGAAAAUUUUCAGACACAAAGUUGGAAAGAGAAAGCAGUAUACCAAAUGUUUGUGUUACCCUUUAGAAGGACCUCAACAAGCUGGAGAACUGAGCUGUCAGGAUUAUCCUGAAGUUUAAGAAAUGGAAAUGUUAAUUCUUGUCCAGGGAGGAGGAAGCCUCAGGCACUCACACAAAGAAGCUGAGGUCUGAAUAUCUGGAAAGCAGCCUUGCAGAAAAGGUCGUGGGGACCUGGUGGGCACCUAAAGGAACAUGAGACAACAAUGUGUUCUAGAGCAUAUGAGGCCAUCAGCGCCUGGGCUGCACUAUGAAAAAUGUCACAAGCAGAUCAAAGGAGGAAAGAGCUCACCUAUUUCAAGGAUCCUAGUUAAGCCAAAGGCUUUUCUAGGUUUUGUAUUGGUCAAAUGGCUGUAUGAAACCAUGUCUGUGACUGAAAAUGUUUUGUCUCUAAAUUAGCUUUUCAUUUCAGUUUAAUCACUGGGAUAAAAACUUCAUACAAAAGAUUUAAAUAUUUUAAUUCAAUUUUUAAAGCUACUUUAAUUAAAACAAUUAAACCUAAAUAUCUGUAUUAUAGCUUUGUGUCAAAAAAAAAAAUACUACUAGUUCUAUUAAAACUGCUUUUAAGACAGAUUUAGUUAAACAGGGCAAGCAACUUGUACUUGCUCUUAGACAAUUUUAAACUUGAUUAGCUUUGAUUUGAUGAGAAACACUGUAUCUUCAUGAAGGAAGAAUUUAAUGUUAAUCACCUUCAUCUGUCUAAGAGUUCUGAAUGAAGUUCCCACCAUAAUCAGCUGAAAGGGACAGUCAUGUCAGAAAUGAAUCAUUCCACCUGUUCUGGACAUCUGUAUUAGAAUGGAAAAAAUCACCUUUCACUCAUAACUUUCUCUUCGUGUCUUGAAAAUAUAGUAAAGAGAAACAGUUAAGACUAUGCACUGCUUUUACAUUACUAAAAACAGGUGAAGUUUUUUCCAAGCUGAGCAUUUGCACUAGUUCAAUUUAUUUAUAUUUUUGUUAAUUAAAAUGAAUUAAUGUUCAGCAACAUCUGAGAAAGCAACAUUUGCAUAAUAUUUAUGCAGUUAUUGAUCCAUCAGUAUUAUUUAUUAUGAUUUGGUUACCACACAAAGAAUAAUUAUAUUAAGAGAAAAUAAAUUCUUAUUUUGUUCUUUAAUUUAUCCCUAGAAAAGAGUUUCUCAAGUAAUGCCUGUUUAAAAGUUGUUUCUGCUCUCUUAUUUAAGGAAGGAAAGAGGUGGACAUAACAGUGAGCUCCAUUUUUCUUUCUACAAACAAUAUUAUAAAAUGAGCUCUAGUGGAAAUAAUGCGUACUCAGUGCAGAGAAAUGUUCAUGCUCACCUUCUCUUCUUCAUUGUGCACAAAUAGCUGGAAGGAAGGAAAAAAAUGUUGCUGUGAAUAAAUCCAUUACCCAUGAAGUAUUUUGGGAUGAGAGAAAAGCGUUUUUAAGAAGAAAUGAAGUAAUUGAUUGCAUAUCUAAAGAAACCAGUGAAGGACUAAGCCACAUUACAGUCAAAAACAUAACAUUGCAAGACUGAAAAAUUGCUUUCCUUUUGUUUGUUGAAAUGACAUUGCCUUAUAUAUAUACUUUCAAAAUAUCUCCAGCAGUUUCUUUAACUGCUUUAUCCUUUGUGUGUUGUCUAGCUACAGGAAAUUGGAAAUUGGGCUAUACUGUCCCUUUUACAUUAAUGGUCACAAAUAAGUUUUGUGGCAGUAGUUUUCAUGUCAUCUAAAUGAAGAACAGUAUGGAGAACCAGUUUUUUAUUAUUAUUAUUACUAUUAUUAAUAAUAAUAAUUAAUUUAAUUGAUUUCUUUCUAAUUUCAUGGAAUAUCUUCAUUUUAUUUUGAGAAAAAAAAAAAAUCAUAGAAUCAUAGAAUCCUAGAAUGGCCUGGUUUGAAAAGGAUCUCAAAGAUCACCUAGUUUCAACACACCUGCCGUGGGCAGGGUUGUCAGCCACUAGACCAGGAUGUCCAGAGCCACAUCCAGCCUGGCCUUGAAUGCCUCCAGGGAUGGGGCAUCCACAACCUCCUUGGGCAACCUGUUCCAGUGCUUCACCACUGUCUGAGUGAAAAAAUUCCUCCUAAUAUCUAAGCUAACCCUCCCCUGACUUUGUUUAAAACCAUUCCCCCUUGUCUUAUCACUAUGCAUUUAUGUAAACAGUCAUUCCCAUUCCUGUUUAUAUGCUCCCUUUAAGUACUGGAAGGCCACAAUGAGGUCUCCCUGGAGCGUUAUCUCCUUCAAGCUAAACAAGUCCAGUUUCCUCAGCCUUUCUUCAUAGGAGAGGUGCUCCAGCCCUCUGAUCUUCUCAGUGCAGUGGUCCUCCUCUGGACCUGUUCCAAGAGAUCUGUGCUGGGGGCCCCAGGCCUGGACGCAGUACUCCAGAUGGGGCCUCACAAGAGCUGAGUAGAUGCAGACAAUCACCUCCCUCUCCCUGCCGGCCACCCUUUUUUUAAUGCAGCCCAGAACACAGUUGCCCUUCCAGACUGUAAGCGCACACUGCUGGCUCAUGUCCAGCUUCUUGUCCACUAGGACCCCCAAGUCCUUCACCACAUGGCUGCUCUCAAGUUCUUCCUUCAUUCUGUAUAAAUACCUGGGAUUGCCCUGGCCCAAGCUUGCACUUGGCCUUGUUGAACCUCAUGAGUUUCACAUGGACCCACUUCUCCACCCUGUCCAGGUUCCUCUGGAUCGUUUUCCUUCCCUCCAAUGUAUUGACUACAUCUCUCAGAAAAUAUACAGCCUACCCUCUCACAGUCUUCUUUGAUGAACUUUAUACUCUGUAUUAUCCUCCUUUUCUAACAGACAUUAACUCUUCCUCGUAUUUUUCACUUGUGUCAUAUUUUUCCAGUGCCAUUUCUGUGAUCAAAUAUCUAAAUUGCUUAGUAGCCAUGUGCAUGGCGGUGACUGCACCAGCUGCCGGGGAUUUCCUUGUCUUUUUCCAUUGCAUGUUUCAAUCCAUAGAAGAAUAUGCCUGCAUGAUAAAAUUAUGUGUUUUACAAAAGGAAAAGGGCACACAUUACUAUAAGUCUGAAAACACUCCUUUGCAGAUUUUUUGAUGAUUUAGGUUAAUGUUACGCAAAGAAUGCCCAGCCCAGUUCUUCCCUAGAGAAUGCAAACCAGUUUUUGCAUCUGUUUUAUUAAGAUGUAAGUUAGGAGAGCUCAGUGCUCCUGACAUUACCUACAUUGAAACGUCAGUACAUUUAUAUUAAAAGAUACUUUCAUAUCAGGUGAUGGUAAAUUCUCUGGAAAUAAGUGGGGCAAUGCUGGUGGAGAAGAUCAACUUCUGAAUUAGGCUCCCUAUUCAUAUUGUCUUCUGGAGACAUCUUUACAGAAUAUGGAGAUUGCUGUUGUCUCAUCCUUUCUCUGUCCCCAGCUCUUUGUGGAGCUUAUGCUCCUGAGAUAUAUUUUUAAAUCUCAUGUAACAUUCUAGACUUUAAUAAUGGCAAUGAAUUGUAUAGAUAUCAAUAAGAUGUACUCAGUAUUAGGGAAAACUGCAUAGUUAUGUUUAGAUGCUGAAAAAUUAAUGGAGGUACUGAGACUUUUCUUGCAAAAAAUAUUUAUCAAUCAAGUUACUUUGCAUUGAGUAACUGGCAAUCAUAUUGGAUAUUUCUAAGAAAGUUCUGGUAUAAAAUAUACAAAAAAAGACAUUUUUAAAAAGUUAAAAGAAAUUAUGUCAAUAUUCUGCUUAUAACAUCACAAAAUAAACAAUCAAACAAAUGAAUUGUGAUUGUAUAGACAAAAUGAAUGCCUUAUGUACUACUAAGCCACAAAUAUAUUGCAGUUCAUCACUUCAAGGUUUAUGAGCUAUUCACAUUGAGAUAGAUCACCUAAUCUUUCUCUGAUCAAUCUACAUAUACAUCUGUAACAAGAUGCAUUGUGUGAACCUCUACAGAGUUGUAGCACUGCUGGUAUUAUAUAUUAUUUGUUCUGCAUAUUGCAUUUUACCUCACAAUCACUACUGGAAAUUUCUGAUGUCAGAACGAUGCCGGGUCUCCAUCUUACAAUGAUAAUUACUUUAGCUGCAGAGCUUGUAUUUAUGGUUAAAACUCCAAUGCAGUAUUUUUUUCCUGUUUUCUUGCAUGUUUAUCUAAUUGCUACGCAGUUAUGAAAUGGGUAAGUUAUGAAUGUACUGAUUUAAUUAGAAGCUUUGAUUAUAUUUAUUUAUUACCCACAAAAAGUAAAUGGAGUAACUUUCAUACAAGGUUUACACUGGCUCUGAAGACUUUAAAUACAAUUACUGGCAAGCUACUGUAGUAGACACAUGGUGUGUGUGGGGGUGUCAGCUUUUAAUUGUAACUGUCUUGCAGAGUGGUGUUGUUUUAAUAUCCUGUAUAGAUUUUUAUGUAAUACACUUACUUGCAGGCAGCCUGAAGCAAGAAUCAAUUCUGUGAAGGAUUCUUCUUUUGUUAAAAGCCAAUCUUGUUUUAAUGAUGCAUGAAGAAAUAUUCGAGCAUUGACAUUUUUCUGUCAGGUUUCUUUUGAAAAAUCAAUUAAGAUAAUACUGCUUUGACCUAGUUAUCUAGUUAAUGCUUAUUAGGAAUGUAAUAUGAUUUACUGUCAGCAUAAUAAUUUUUGUAUCUUAUCCCAUUAGCUUGUGCAUAUUUCAAAGUGUAUUACACAAUGGUCACUUCUUAAAAUGUAAUGUAGCAGAAUACAUUAAUUAGAUUGACUGGGAUCAUUAGACAGAAACUCUCUCAUUGGUUCUUUGUAUAAAAUUUGUAUAUCAUCUCUAUCAAGUUAAUUCAUUGUUUACUUGUCUGAAGAGUGUUUCUGAAGUUUUUUGAUUGGACAAAAACUGAUUGUUUCAUGUCUACCAAUUCUUUGUUCUUAGCUCUUCCUGGGCUAUGCAAACUAAUUGCAAGUGACCACCAAAGAAACAAAUCUUCACAUGUGAGGUUUUUUGAAAUCUGUAAGUCAUGAAAGAUUGGAGAAGUAUACAGUGCUAAAUAGAGGACAGCCAUGAGAGUACAGAAAUCAGUGAAGCACUAGAUUUGCUAUUUCUAAUGUCAAGUUACAAAAUACAUUGAAAUGACAAGAGUCAUUUUAGAAGAAGGUAUGGAGGAGCAGAAAGGAGAAAGCAUGCACUGCACCAGGAUGUGGGACCAUCUCUUUGACCUCUGGAGACGUCUGAAAGAACAUGGGUGCUCAUAGCUAAAGAGCAGUGGAUGUCAGACAAUGCUAAGAGACGAUCUUAAAUGAUUAGAGUUUAUUUAAGGUGCCAGGCCUCUGCAUGUGGCAGGUUUCCUGUCCUUUUUGGGUCAGUCAAAUGCUGAACUGGAACUUGGAACUCACCCAGUGGCUGGUCAACAAAGGUUCAGGAAUAAGACUCACCCUUAGAACUCCUUGGCAUCUGGAGAAUGAAGGAGGCCACUGCAAUUCUUUUCUGAACAACCUCUUCUAUAGUAUGUCCACCGCAUCCUCUCAGGCUCUCCUUACUGACUGUACAUGAAAGCUGCUUGAUGAAUAUUCUCAAAAGUCACUUUUCCCUCCUAUUUAUUCUGACAAGAUGAAGAGAUUUUAAAUGACAGUAUUGCCUCUAUUUGCACAACCACUUCUGCUGCAGAAAUUAUCAGUAAGCAAAUGAGUCUGCCACCAAGAAGGGAAAUUCUCUUCCUUUCCUCUGUGGAAGACCCUAAGGAAAAUCCCUGCUCCUCAUCUGAAGAGAUCUGCACAGGUUGGAGAAGAGCAGCAUAUUUUCUGUGGUGUUGCUGCCAGGGAGCAAGGACAGGAGACUGCUAGGUCAGAUCUUUACCUCAGAGAGAAUAUUGUGGAUGCUUAAUUCGACUAGAGGUAAGCUUAUGUAAGGCGUUGAAGUCUGAGAAAGUCAGGCUGAAAAAAAUUGUACAGUAUAAUCUGAGGUUGGUGGGAAAUCUCUGCCUGCUGCUCUCUCAUAUAGUGAUAAAAUUAUGUUUUUCUAGUGCAUCAUGAACUAUUUCUAAUUAACAAGCAACAAAUCUACACAAAUUCAAGCUGUUCAUAGAAUUCAGUGAAGAUUUAAACACAAUUUAGAGUCAAUUCCAAUUCACCAAAUCUGUGUAGAUAGUUAUAAAUAGUUAAAUCUUUGG
ensembl:lncRNA